rnacentral:rRNA from 1 species
AAUGAACGUUGGCGGCGUGGAUUAGGCAUGCAAGUCGAGCGAGAACCCCGCAAGGGGGGACAGCGGCGCAAGGGACAGUAAUGUGUAGAUCAUCUGCCCUCAGGUCCGGGAUAGCUGCGGGAAACUGCAGGUAAUACCGGAUAACAUCUCCGGAUCAAAGGUGUGAUUCCGCCUGAGGAUGAGUCUGCAUCCUAUUAGCUAGUUGGCAGGGUAACGGCCUACCAAGGCAUUGAUGGGUAGCGGGUGUGAGAGCACGACCCGCGUCAUUGGGACUGAGACACUGCCCAGACACCUACGGGUGGCUGCAGUCGAGAAUCUUCGGCAAUGGGCGCAAGCCUGACCGAGCGACGCCGCGUGUGGGAUGAAGGCCUUCGGGUUGUAAACCACUGUCAGAGGGGAUGAAAUGCAGGUGGGUUCUCCCAUCUGUUUGACAUAGCCUCAGAGGAAGGACGGGCUAAGUUCGUGCCAGCAGCCGCCGUAAUAC